rnacentral:lncRNA from 1 species
UACGUUAUUUUUAGAUACCAUUUGUGAAAAUGCAAAAACUAUAUUUGGUUGGUCCAAUUUUAAUUAUGUAAACGCUUUUUAGAAACAUAGUAUACAUAACACUGUCAGUUUUAAAACGUUAUGAAUAAUUAAGGCGAGAAAUAAUUUAUUUUCCCUCUCACCCUCGUUUCACUUUCUUUCCAACUUCAUUUCAUUUGCUUCUAAAAUUCAUAAAUCCUAAAUUCUAAAACCUAAAUUUUAAACACAACCUCUAAAACUCAAAUAUUUUUUUAAUUUUAAUCUAAAAUUUUAAUAUUUUUAAAAGUUUAGAUAAAAUAUUAAAUCUAAACUUUAAACCCUAAACUAUAGAUCUAUAUCAUACU